GCCCCAGUUCGGAUUGCAGGCUGCAACCCGCCUGCAUGAAGCCGGAAUCGCUAGUAAUCGCGGAUCAGAAUGCCGCGGUGAAUACGUUCCCGGGUCUUGUACACACCGCCCGUCACACCAUGGGAGUCGGGAAUGCCCGAAGUCAGUGGCCCAACCGGAAGGGGGGAGCUGCCGAAGGCAGGCCCGGUGACUGGGGUGAAGUCGUAACAAGGUAAC
rnacentral:rRNA from 1 species